UACGUAUGGUGCAAGCGUUGUCCGGAUUUACUGGGUGUAAAGGGGGCGCAGACGGCGAUGCAAGCCAGGAGUGAAAGCCCGGGGCCCAACCCCGGGACUGCUCUUGGAACUGCGUGGCUGGAGUGCAGGAGGGGCAGGCGGAAUUCCUGGUGUAGCGGUGAAAUGCGUAGAUAUCAGGAGGAACACCGGCGGCGAAGGCGGCCUGCUGGACCGCGACUGACGUUGAGGCUCGAAAGCGUGGGGAGCAAACAGG
rnacentral:rRNA from 1 species